AGGAGGGGCUGCACCGUUGAACAGCUCUGCUGUCCGCCAGCCGCGGGUGAUGCUUCCCGUCUUCACAGGACUCGGGUGGGAAACGGCUCGUCCUCGGAACGCUCCACACGCAGACCUAGAGGAAGGGCCUCGGCUGCCUGCUGGGGGAGACCACGCGCUACACUGCCGUUGCAGGAGGUCGGUCACUGGUCCUGGCUCUGCAGGUCCCAGCUGGAUGAGAGUCAGUGCGGGAGGUGAGAUCGACUGCAGAGGAAGGGAGCAGCGAGGCACUGAUGCUGACUCCGUCCCGCGGGCCCACGUCGGACGCAACAGGAAGCAGCAGGCCGUCUGCAGACCAGGACGUCACGUAGACAUGCCCGAAACAGCCAGGGCCGUGCCGGGCUGAAGCCAGGGGCCAGGAACUCGCUCCGGGUCCGACGCGAGCGGUGGGAACCCAGCUGCUGGAGCCAUCAGCACGUCCCGCAUUAGCAGCAUCCGGAGUCAGAGCUGGCAACCAAGUUCAGGUUCUCUGCCGUGGACGUGGACGUCUUAGCCGCUAGGCUAAAUAUUCACUCCUCUUAGACAUUUUUAAUGCUUGUCAGGGUUGUAUUUUACAAAUAGCCAGCUGUACACUUGCCACCAUGUCUGUUAGAUUCGAAUUGGUGUUAAGUGGCUUAGAAGUCUUCUUAUGGUCCGUUUUGAAGAGAAGACAUUUUUGAUUUUAUUUUGUCUGCUUUUUAAAAGAUUUAUUUAUUUAUUUGAAAGUCAGAGUUAUAGAGAGAAGGAGAGACAGAUCCUCCACCCACUGGUUCACUCUCAAUUUGGCUGCAAUGGGCAGGGCUGGACCAGGCCGAAGCCGGGAGCUUCCUCCAGGUCUCCCACAUGGGUAGCAGGGCCCAAGCACUUGGGCCACCUUCCACUGCUUCUCUCAGGCCAUUAGCAGGGAGCUGGAUGGGAAGUGGAGCAGCCAGGACACGAGCCGAUGCCCAUAUAGGAUGCUGGCACUACAGGCGGUGACUUAACCUGCUAUGCAGCUAUGCUGGCCCUGAAUUCACAUGUUUUAACAAAGUAAAAUAAGUAAUGAUAGCAGACUAAUAACAAGUCAUAUAUUUAGACGUGAAAAUGCAUUUAAGAAAACCCUGUGGGUUAAAGAGUCACGUUACACAGAAUUGAUAACGUCACACUGUACGGCGCCGCAAACACUACACUGGGACUUGAACGGUGCAGCUGGAAGAGAAAACGCCACCCUCAAUGCUGCAUACGAUAGAAAAUGAGGGCGCUUUUCUUUACAAUAAAUGUGACUUUAUCCUAUAUGCUCUCACUAAAUGCUCUCCAUGAAUGGGUAUACCCGGAUUUUGCAUUUUUUGCACCAAAAUAAACCCAAUCAUCCACUUGUCCUGCACUGUCUGAAGCAGCAUUGAACUGACUCAUUUAAUCCUGGAAGCAGCCCCCGUCACGUGGGCACGCUACUCUCCCCGGGUUUCCUGGUGAGACCUGGACUCUCCCAGCUUCCGCUCAGCGGCUCUGGCACAGGCAGACUCCGCGCGUGGCCGAGGCGUCCGCUGCUCUGCUCUGCGCAGGAGUUUAGUUCUGACCGCGAAUGCGCUGGGUCCACAGCGACUGAGAGCAGCGUCACCUUCGCAGCAGUGGGUCCUCGCCUCCUCGGGGGACGCCCUCCCUCCAGCUGUUCAUGCCCUUUCAAACCCCGCCCAGGACUUCCUCUGUGGCUUUCGCACGGAGGACUGGGAGUUACUCUUACACACGGAUGCCCCAUCUUUGUGAAUGCUGUUGUCACUAAGUUCACUGCGUUUCCAUAGUUAGAGAAAUGCCCGCUUUUUAUGUGCACACUUGCCAGGAACUCUUAGCAGCUGUGAUAACCUUUCUGCAGCUCAUUUGCACCUCCUGACUUUACAAUUCUACAUCUGCAGAUGCGCUUCCUCCUUCUCUAUUUUCACGCCUCCCUUUUGUGGCUCCCUUUUUGUGCCUGUUAGACGGGACGAUGGCGGCUUCCUUGUCCUGCUGCAGAGGGAAAGCUUUCAAUGUGUCGCUGUCAAGCUCUAAGAAAGGCAAGACACGCUGGCUUUACAGCAUCGCCUGUUCAGGGGGCACCAGUGGGAAUGCUCUGCUUUGCCUCAGCCCGUCCUAGCCGUGGCUGCUUAAAAGCCAUGAUCACCAAGUGACCGUGAGAUGGCAAACGCUACUGACUGCGGAACGGGCGUGCGAGUGAACAGACUUGCUCCAACCUCCGGGGAGUGUUCCUCUGCUGGAUUCUCUGGCUUUGUGCCUUGCCCCGCCCCCACCACAUGCCCGGCCAGGACAGGUUCUCGUUUCCCAUCCU